AACGAACGCUGGCGGCAUGCCUAACACAUGCAAGUCGAACGAGACCUUCGGGUCUAGUGGCGCACGGGUGCGUAACGCGUGGGAACCUGCCCUUAGGUUCGGAAUAACUCCCCGAAAGGGGUGCUAAUACCGGAUAAUGUCUUCGGACCAAAGAUUUUUCGCCUUUGGAUGGGCCCGCGUUGGAUUAGCUAGUUGGUAGGGUAAAAGCCUACCAAGGCGACGAUCCAUAGCUGGUCUGAGAGGAUGAUCAGCCACACUGGGACUGAGACACGGCCCAGACUCCUACGGGAGGCAGCAGUGGGGAAUAUUGGACAAUGGGCGAAAGCCUGAUCCAGCAAUGCCGCGUGAGUGAUGAAGGCCUUAGGGUUGUAAAGCUCUUUUACCCGGGAUGAUAAUGACAGUACCGGGAGAAUAAGCGCCGGCUAACUCCGUG
rnacentral:rRNA from 1 species